UACGUAGGGUGCGCGCGUUAAUCGGAAUUACUGGGCGUAAAGCGUGCGCAGGCGGUUUUGUAAGCCAGAUGUGAAAUCCCCGGGCUUAACCUGGGAAUGGCAUUUGGGACUGCAAGGCUGGAGUACGGCAGAGGAGACUGGAAUUCCUGGUGUAGCAGUGAAAUGCGUAGAGAUCAGGAGGAAUACCGAUGGCGAAGGCAGGUCUCUGGGCUGAUACUGACGCUCAUGCACGAAAGCGUGGGGAGCAAACAGG
rnacentral:rRNA from 1 species